GAUGAACGCUGGCGGCGUGCCUAAUACAUGCAAGUCGAGCGAAGCGGGGACGGGUGAGUAAUACGUGGAUAACCUCCUAUCAGUUUGGGAUAACUUUGGGAAACCGGGGCUAAACCGGAUAGUUAUGGGUGGGUCGCCUCUGCAUUAGCUAGUUGGGAAGGUAACGGCGUACCAAGGCAACGAUGCAUAGCCGACCUGAGAGGUUGAUCAGCCACACUGUAACUGAUACACGGGCCAGACGCCUCCGGGAGGCAGCAGAAGGGAAUGUGCGGCAAUGGGCGAAAGGCGUACGGAGCAACGCCGCGGGAGUGAAGAAGGUGUUCGGAUCGUAAAACUCUUUUAUUAGGGAAGCGGUACCUAAUCAGAAAGCCACGGCUAACUACGUGCCAGCCGCCGCGGUAAUAC
rnacentral:rRNA from 1 species